rnacentral:lncRNA from 1 species
GCAUAUCUGAGGAAUAAAUAUGGCUCUUUGUGCAUCUGCUUUGCUUUGUGAGCAGAAUUUUUAUAUAUAUUCUAGGCCACAGGCAUGAUCUUUCUCAUGUAAGCAGCAGCACAUGCAGUCUUACUUACUUGUGAAAUGAGCAUGGAAAGUUAACUCAAGCUGCACUCAGGAGGGAAUAGUGUCCACCAUAAGGUCAAAACCCUUCUAUGUGAAGUCCUCUUCAACAUCUGAUAUUCUGACUCAGGUACAAUUGCAUUACUAGUGAUAUAACAUUUUCAGAGAAGCUAUGACUCAGAAUUGCUUGUUCAUUUUGGAUGAACCUGUCCCUGUACCAAAUGCUGUAAUGGCAGGGUGAAACCUUUUCAUCAACUUGCACUCCACAAAAGUGAGAGGAACUGGUACCCAUCUUCCUAAUG